rnacentral:rRNA from 1 species
UACGUAGGGGGCAAGCGUUAUUCGGAUUUACUGGGCGUAAAGGGCGCGUAGGCGGCGUGGCGUGUCGGAUAUGAAAUCUCCGGGCUCAACCCGGAAAGUGCGUCCGAAACUGCCGCGCUCGAGUGCGGGAGGGGGAAGGGGAAUAUAGGGUGUAGCGGUGAAAUGCGUUGAUAUCCUAUAGAACACCGGAGGCGAAGGCGCCUUCCUGGAACGCUACUGACGCUGAGGCGCGAAAGCCGGGGGAGCAAAC